GUCCACACUGUAAACGAUGAUAACUCGCUGUCGGCGAUAUACAGUCGGUGGCCAAGCGAAAGCGAUAAGUUAUCCACCUGGGGAGUACGACCGCAAGGUUGAAACUCAAAGGAAUUGACGGGGGCCCGCACAAGCGGAGGAACAUGUGGUUUAAUUCGAUGAUACGCGAGGAACCUUACCCGGGCUCGAACGGUGCAGGAAUAUGGUAGAGAUAUCAUAGCUAGCAAUAGUCUGUAUCGAGGUGCUGCAUGGUUGUCGU
rnacentral:rRNA from 1 species